CAGUAGCCGCGGGAAUACGUAGGGGGCAAGCGUUAUCCGGAAUUACUGGGUGUAAAGGGAGCGUAGACGGUUAAACAAGUCUGAAGUGAAAUGCCGGGGCUCAACCCCGGAGCUGCUUUGGGAACUGUAGAACUGGAGUGUCGGAGGGGUAAGCGGAAUUCCCAGUGUAGCGGUGAGAUGCGUAGAUAUUGGGAGGAACACCGGCGGCGAAGGCGGCUUACUGGACGACAACUGACGUUGAGGCUCGAAGGCGUGGGUAGCAAACAGGAUUAGAUACCCCAGUAGUCCCUGUCUCUUAUAC
rnacentral:rRNA from 1 species